GCAUUAGCAUAAUGCAGCAUAGCCUAUGACUAAACAGGCUUUCCGGGAGGCUUCUGUGCUAGCAGCUUUCACCUAUAUUACCGUGAACCAUAGAAAUGUAGAGACGGGGUUUCACCAUGUUGGCCAAGAUGCUAUCUCCUGACCUUGUGAUCUGCCCGCCUCGGCCUCCCAAAGUGCUGAGAUUACAAAGGGACAUGGAUGAAUCUGGAAACCAUCAUUAUCAGCAAACUGACACAAGAACAGAAAAUCAAACACUGCAUGGUAUCACUCCUAGGCAGGUGUUGAACAAUUGGAACAUAUGGACACAGGGAGGAGGAAUCUACAAAUGGAUGAAUUUGAGUGACCUCUAGGAGCUGAGACUGACUCCUGGCCAACAGUGGCAGUGGAGAAUGGAGACUUCAGUCCUACAACCACAAGAACUAAAUUCUGCCAACAACCUGAACGAGGUCAGGAGAACAUUCCUCCCCAGAGGAUCCUGAUGAGAACAUGGCUCAGCUGACAUCUUGAUUUUAUUCUACCUUUGAGACCCUGAACAGAGGGCCCAGCUAAAAUAUGCUGGAUACCUGACCCAUGGAAACUGUAGAUAACCUGUAUUAUUUACUGUUAUAAGUUUGUGAUAAUUUGUUAUGAAACAAUAGAAUAAAAAA